rnacentral:misc_RNA from 1 species
AGUUGAUACACUCAGUAUUUGGCACGCUCGCAUUUCCUAAACUGUUAGCUAGCCAAGUUAUUUCCCAAUCAAAUAAUUUUUGACAUGUUCAGUGAGACACAUUCUCAUACAGUGUUAAAUCAAUAAUCCAUACCACUAUUCUUUGCCAAAAAUUAGCAAAUAAUUUUUAGCAUGCUUGGUGGGAUCAAAUCUUAGUUGCACGCAUUUUUCAAAACAACAAACACUAUUGUUUUUGGUUUUGUAGGUGAAACUAUGCCUCCUAAAGCCAAAAGCAUUUUUGGCAAAAAAACCGUCGAGUUUUAGGACACGGAGGGAAGUCAUACUAUAGAAGGCCUGAAAGUUCAAGUUUCUCUCAUGGUUGAAUGCCUUGAAAGGAGGUAACACUAUGCCUCCUAGAGCCAAAAGCAUUUUUGGCAAAGAAACCGUCGAGUUUCAGGAGACGAAGGGAAGUCAUACUAUAGACGGCCUGAAUGUUCAAGUUCCUCUCAUGGUUGAAUGCCUUGAAAGGAGGUAACACUAUGCCUCCUAGAGCCAAAAGCAUUUUUGGCAAAGAAACCGUCGAGUUUCAGGAGACGAAGGGAAGUCAUACUAUAGACGGCCUGAAUGUUCAAGUUC